rnacentral:rRNA from 1 species
GAUGAACGCUGGCGGCGUGCCUAAUACAUGCAAGUCGAGCGAACGGACGAGAAGCUUGCUUCUCUGAUGUUAGCGGCGGACGGGCGAGUAACACGUGGAUAACCUACCUAUAAGACUGGGAUAACUUCGGGAAACCGGAGCUAAUACCGGAUAAUAUUUUGAACCGCAUGGUUCAAAAGUGAAAGACGGUCCUGCUGUCACUUAUAGAUGGAUCCGCGCUGCAUUAGCUAGUUGGUAAGGUAACGGCUUACCAAGGCAACGAUGCAUAGCCGACCUGAGAGGGUGAGCGGCCACACUGGAACGGAGACACGGCCCAGACUCCUACGGGGGGCAGCGGUGGGAAAUCUUCCGAAAGGGGCGAAAGCCGGACGGGGCAACGCCGGGUGAGUGAGGAAGGUCUCCGGAUCGAAAACCUUUGUUUUUAGGAAAGAAAAUAUGUGAAAGUAACUGUGCACAUCUGGCCGGUACCUAACCAGAAAGCCACGGCUAACUC